UUCCUGGUAGUCCAGUGGUUAAGACUCUGCACUUGCAAUGCAGGGGCUACAGGUUUGAUCUCUGGUCAGGGAA
rnacentral:tRNA from 1 species